GUGGCCGUAGCUCAACGGCAGAGCACCAGACUGUGGCUCUGGGGGUUGGGGGUUCAAAUCCCCUCGGCCACCCCA
rnacentral:tRNA from 2 species